GAAAGAAAAUCUUCAAUCCCAGAUCUUCAAGCUAAAGUAGUAGAGUGAGGUUGUUGCAGUUAAGCAAUUGGAUAGAAAUAGACUUUAAGGGACCAGAGGCUACUUGUCUAUUAGUUCAUGCCCUUGGGAUCAUUGGAAGAUCAUCUUCAUGGGUUCAGCUGCAGAAAGUGCUUUCUCGGGGAUUUGAUGAAAGUUCUUGGCCACUCCAAACUAAAACCGGCAGCUUCUAGAAAUAGCUCAAGUUCCUGAUGAACAUGUGAAUGAAUUCAAGUUGAUAGAGAAGUUCAAAAUUUUCAAUCCCAACAACUUAUGGGUGAACUUGAAAGCAAUCAAAAGACUUGUACAAGAAAGUGCACUGAAGAUGGAGAUUAUUCCAAAUCCAAAGGAAGUAGAUGGGGUGAAAGUUCUUCAACUUGAAA